AGGACGAACGCUGGCGGCGUGCUUAACACAUGCAAGUCGAGCGGAAAGGCCCUUCGGGGUACUCGAGCGGCGAACGGGUGAGUAACACGUGAGUAAUCUGCCCCUAGCUCUGGGAUAGCUCCGGGAAACCGGGAUUAAUACCAGAUACGACCACUUUAGACAUCUGUCGUGGUGGAAAGGAUUCCGGCUAGGGAUGGGCUCGCGGCCUAUCAGCUUGUUGGUGGGGUAACGGCCUACCAAGGCGACGACGGGUA
rnacentral:rRNA from 1 species